GUCCACAGUAGAUUUAACGGCAUUAAGGAUGGUGGUUCCUGUAAUUUAUUGGUGCUUCAAAAGCAAACAUUACCACUGUGAAUUGCAAUCUAAGCUUGGAUUAGAGAAGCACCAAAUCAAUAUCUUGCCAGUUUCCAAGUAAUAAACAUUUCUGGUAAGGGUUACAAUAUUGAGUGGUGGAUUUUCGAUGAUGAGGACAAGUAGAACUAAGAUAUAAAAUAAAUACCACAGUGUUAAACCAGGAGGUAACAAUAUAAAACAAUAACUAGUAAUGCACCUUAGGAGAGUUUAGGGUUUAAAAAACAGAAGAAAGAUGUAGGAUAGCAAAAAUUGUACUUCUGUGUUGUUUAUCAUUAGUUCCUUGGAUAAAUAGUAGAUCAACAGCAAUCAUGGCUUUUUGUAUC